GCGAGAAUUUUUCAAAUGACACUUCGGUUGAUUUUGGGAAAGGACAGCGGCGGACGGGUGAGUAACGCGUAGGCAACCUGCCCCUGACAGAGGGAUAGCCAUUGGAAACGAUGAUUAAAACCUCAUAAUGCCGAAGGAACACAUGUUUCAUCGGCCAAAGAUUUAUCGGUCAGGGAUGGGCCUGCGUCUGAUUAACUAGUUGGUGAGGUAACGGCUCACCAAGGUGACGAUCAGUAGCCGACCUGAGAGGGUGAUCGGCCACAUUGGAACUGAGACACGGUCCAAACUUCUACGGAAGGCAGCAGUAGGGAAUCUUGCACAAUGGGCGAAAGCCUGAUGCAGCAACGCCGCGUGAAGGAUGAAGGCCUUCGGGUUGUAAACUUCUGUUCUUAGGGAAGAAGAAAGUGACGGUACCUAAGGAGAAAGCCCCGGCUAACUACGUGCCAGCAGCCGCGGUAAUACGUAGGGGGCAAGCGUUAUCCGGAAUUAUUGGGCGUAAAGAGUGCGUAGGUGGUUAUCUAAGCGUAAGGUUUAAGCGUGCAGCUCAACUGCAUCUCGCCUUGCGAACUGGACUACUUGAGUGCAGGAGGGGAAAGCGGAAUUCCUAGUGUAGCGGUGAAAUGCGUAGAUAUUAGGAGGAACACCAGCGGCGAAGGCGGCUUUCUGGACUGUAACUGACACUGAGGCACGAAAGCGUGGGGAGCAAACAGGAUUAGAUACCCUGGUAGUCCACGCCGUAAACGAUGAGCACUAGAUGUUGGUCCCGAAGGGAUCAGUGUCGCAGUUAACGCAAUAAGUGCUCCGCCUGGGGAGUACGCUCGCAAGAGUAAAACUCAAAGGAAUUGACGGGGACCCGCA
rnacentral:rRNA from 2 species